rnacentral:rRNA from 1 species
UACGUAGGGUCCGAGCGUUGUCCGGAAUUAUUGGGCGUAAAGGGCUCGUAGGCGGUUUGUCGCGUCGGGAGUGAAAACACGGGGCUUAACCCCGUGCCUGCUUCCGAUACGGGCAGACUAGAGGUAUGCAGGGGAGAACGGAAUUCCGGGUGUAGCGGUGAAAUGCGUAGAUAUCAGGAAGAACACCCGUGGCGAAGGCGGCUCUCUGGGACGUUACUGACGCUGAGACGCGAAAGCGUGGGGAGCAAACAGG